AUUGAACGCUGGCGGCAUGCUUUACACAUGCAAGUCGAACGGUAACAGGCCGCAAGGUGCUGACGAGUGGCGAACGGGUGAGUAAUGCAUCGGAACGUGCCCAGUCGUGGGGGAUAACGCAGCGAAAGCUGUGCUAAUACCGCAUACGAUCGGGGGAUGAAAGGGGGGGACCGUAAGGCCUCGCGCGAUUGGAGCGGCCGAUGUCAGAUUAGGUAGUUGGUGGGGUAAAGGCGACCCAAGCCGACGAUCUGUAGCUGGUCUGAGAGGACGACCAGCCACACUGGGACUGAGACACGGCCCAGACUCCUACGGGAGGCAGCAGUGGGGAAUUUUGGACAAUGGGCGCAAGCCUGAUCCAGCAAUGCCGCGUGCAGGAAGAAGGCCUUCGGGUUGUAAACUGCUUUUGUACGGAGCGAAAAGGCUCUCUCUAAUACAGGGGGCUCAUGACGGUACCGUAAGAAUAAGCACCGGCUAACUACGUGCCAGCAGCCGCCGCAGUAA
rnacentral:rRNA from 1 species